AACAUACUCUCCCUGUCCGAAAAAGCUUGUCCCAAGCUUGUGUCUCAAAUUGAUGUAUCUAGCACUAACUUGGUGCUAGAUACAUCCAUUUGAGGGACAAACUUUUUCGGAUGGAGGGAGUACACA
rfam:Triticum aestivum genome assembly, contig: Triticum_aestivum_CS42_TGACv1_scaffold_471044_6AL